rnacentral:rRNA from 1 species
CCCUUAGAUGUUCUGGGCCGCACGCGCGCUACACUGAUGAAUGCAACGAGCUCUACCCUUGACCGAAAGGCCCGGGUAAACUUGUGAAACUUCAUCGUGAUGGGGAUAGAUUAUUGCAAUUAUUAAUCUUCAACGAGGAAUUCCUAGUAAGCGCGAGUCAUCAGCUCGCGUUGAUUACGUCCCUGCCCUUUGUACACACCGCCCGUCGCUCCUACCGAUUGAAUGGUCCGGUGAAAUCUUCGGAUUGCUGACCAAGAUCCAGCAAUGGAGCUUGGUUGCGAGAAGUUGAUUAAACCUUAUUAUUUAGAGGAAGGAGAAGUCGUAACA